rnacentral:rRNA from 1 species
AUACGGAGGGUGCAAGCGUUGUUCGGAAUCACUGGGCGUAAAGAGCAUGUAGGUGGUUUGGUAAGUAGGAAGUGAAAGCCCAGGGCUCAACCCUGGAACUGCCUUCAAUACUGCCAGUCUUGAGUCCGAGAGAGGUGAGUGGAAUUCCUAGUGUAGAGGUGAAAUUCGUAGAUAUUAGGAAGAACACCAGUGGCGAAGGCGGCUCACUGGCUCGGUACUGACACUGAGGCGCGAAAGCGUGGGGAGCAAACAGGAUUAGAUACCCCGGUAGUCC